UGCCUAAUACAUGCAAGUCGAGCGAACUGAUUAGAAGCUUGCUUCUGUGACGUUAGCGGCGGACGGGUGAGUAACACGUGGGCAACCUGCCUGUAAGACUGGGAUAACUUCGGGAAACCGAAGCUAAUACCGGAUAGGAUCUUCUCCUUCAUGGGAGAUGAUUGAAAGAUGGUUUCGGCUAUCACUUACAGAUGGGCCCGCGGUGCAUUAGCUAGUUGGUGAGGUAACGGCUCACCAAGGCAACGAUGCAUACCCGACCUGAGAGGGUGAUCGGCCACACUGGGACUGAGACACGGCCCAGACUCCUACGGGAGGCAGCAGUAGGGAAUCUUCCGCAAUGGACGAAAGUCUGACGGAGCAACGCCGCGUGAGUGAUGAAGGCUUUCGGGUCGUAAAACUCUGUUGUUAGGGAAGAACAAGUACGAGAGUAACUGCUCGUACCUUGACGGUACCUAACCAGAAAGCCACGGCUAACUACGU
rnacentral:rRNA from 1 species